GUCGGUGAAUCUUUGUAAUUGCUGAUUAGUACGCUCAUUAUAUUUAAUAUCAUUUUUUUUGACCUUUUGGAUAUUAUAUGCUAUUUGAUCUAAUUUUUUAGUUUAUAGUGAUUUGUUGUGUUGGAUGUUGUUGAUGUUUCACAGUCGUUUUCGAUACAUUAGGCAUAAAGUUUCCAUUGCAAUUUUAUCUCCUAGAAUUAGGACUUUGGGUGCAAUUUUAUCUACUUUAGUCGGAUAAUUUUGUUGAUUCUAUUUGGUUCUAUAUUGCAUUCUGUUUUGGGCUUGGCUCUUUGGUUUCGACAAACUUGAAACUAAUUUAGCAGAAACCAUGCUAUCUCUUCAACAACCAAGGGAUUUGAGUUUUGUAGUGGAUUCGCAGAUUAGCCAAUUGUGCAUAAAUAUGCUAUAGAUUUAUUGCGAUUUUGAUUCUUGAACUUUGUCUUGGAUUUCAAUUUAGCCCUCAUAGCUUCAAGUAAUAAUUUUAGUCCUUCCUUUAGCACCAUUUAUAAAGUGUCAUAUCAGCAUCUUUA
rnacentral:lncRNA from 1 species